CCUGAAUAGACCUCAGGUUCUGCGUCCUGCUUCUAACUCAUUCGCUAGACUGCCAUUUGAACAUUGAUCUCCUCACACCACUCUUAUGACCAGAAAAUAUAUGAACUCUCUGGUAUCUCCCAAAUCAAGAUGUGAAUAAGAAAAUGGAUAAUCCUGAUUGCUACAAGCAGCCUUCUUGUUACCACAGAAAGCACCAACUUCUGAAUGAAACUGAUGCUGUGGGCCACAGAGCAGAGAGGGGAAAGAGCCUGUGUUCUUAUUAACAUCACCUACCUGCUGAAUCAACUAACCCUGAAGACCGCUCUAUGUCUGAUUCUCCUUUUAUUGCAUCCUAUGCGUCCUGGAAACUAAGAAGGAGCAGCCUCACCGAGAUCAUCCCAUGUCUUGAAGACACUUCAGUUGUACGGGAAAAGCCAGCCAAUCUGACCACUCACUUCAGG